AGCUGGUGUUGUGAAUCAGGCC
rnacentral:ncRNA from 7 species